UGAAUUCUCUAAGAUUUUUUAAUUUUUUUUUGUUUUUUGAUUUUUCUUUAUUUUUUUGAGUUUUCGAUUUUAUGAGAUUUUGAUUUUGUGUGUUUUUAUUUUCGAUUUGGUUUUUCAAUUUUUCAAUUUCGCGAUUUUGGGUUUUUUGUCUUUGGUUUUUCGGUUUUCAUCUUUUGAUUUUUCUGAGAUUUUGAGUUGUUUAUGGUUUUAUGAAUGUUGUUUCCAGAUCUGGUUUUUGGUUUUCUUUGUUAAUUUUGAAUUUUAUGAACUGGGUAUUGUUUUGUUUUCUCAAAAAGUGGAAAAUUUUGAUGUGGUUGUUUAUGUGAUUAAUUAGUUCGAAAUCGAACCAGUACCCAAACACAUCUUUGGUUCAGAACGAAGGAGUUAACACACAAGAAGAAGCUGCGUGGUAUUUGGGAAAGAAAUUGGCGGAAGCUAAGAAGAAUGGGUCCCCCUAAAUUCAUGGUAACAGUGGUGCGUGUAUGUUGUUUGUGCUAAGUUCAGUUUCUAAUCUUCCCCCUAAAUCCAUGUGGCUGGCGCGGUGGAGGGGUGGCUGAUGCGCUGGUGAGGAUUCUGGUGGUGGGAUGGCUGGCCCGGUGGUGCAGUAGCUCGACAUUGGCAGUGGUUCCGACUAGUAUUAGAUUGAAAUUGUAUUAGAUUUUAAUUACAAUGUAAUUAUACUAUUAUAAUACUAAAUUUUGGUAUUAGAUUGUAAUUAUAUAUAUUUAAUUUAAAUAAAAUUCUCAUUUGUUUAGUUCUCAA